rnacentral:rRNA from 1 species
UUUGGCGAUGUCAAGAAAGCGUUCGAUUCGGUCUCGCACCAAUCGGUCAUCCUGGCUGCAAAAAGCCUGGGUGCGCCCACCCUGUUGCUUUCGUACUUAUCCGAACUCUACUCAGACGCAUGGACCAUCAUCCAUGUGGGUGGAGAACGGAGUGAGGUGAUCCGUAGCAGACGAGGCGUUAGACAAGGAGACCCUAUGUCACCCCACCUGUUUAAUGCAGUUAUUGAUUGGGUCAUUGAAGACCUUGACCUGAGCAUUGGUGCCCUCAUUGGUGAAGGGAGGACGAACGUAUGCGCCUUUGCAGACGACCUCGUCCUCAUUGCAGCCACACCACUCAGUCUCCAAUCCCUGCUGGACUCUCUGGACCGGGCCCUAGGGCUGGUCGGCCUGGAGAUCUCAGCGGGGACCAACGGAAAGUCAGCAUCCUUGCGGAUCGAUAUCGAUGGUAGGGCAAAGAGAUGGGUUGUGAAUACACACCCGUUCCUCCGAGUAACAAGGUUGCCGGAGGAUGAGGGGCUGAUCCCGACUCGAUCACCCAAGCCCAAAAAUACCUGGGCGUCGAGAUCUCCGCGGGGGCCAUCAGAGCAAAGGCAGCAAACAAACUGCGAGAGGACUCUCAAACCUCUCCGCAGCGCCGCUCAAGCCUCAAUAGAGGCUGCACAUUCUAAAUCACCACCUGCUGCCAGUGCUCUAUCAUGAGCUAGUCCUGACACCCUUUCCGGACAAAUUCAUGCACUGGCUUGACCGCAGUAUACGAGGUGCGCUCAGAUCCUGGCUAAAGAUGCCCAAAGACACACCGGUCACCUACUACCACGCGGAAGUGGCGGACGGAGGUCUCGGGGUUCCCCUGCUUAGUCAGACCGUGCCGCUCAUGAGAUCCAAGCGGCUAGGCAGACUAGGUCACUCGGAUGACCCUGUGAUCUUGGCGAUGGUAGAAUACGUUGCAGCUCGACCGGGUUUGCAGCGUCAUCUGCAGGCUAAGAAAUAUGGUGACUCGCUUAUAAACACCAGGGAGACGCGCCUCGCUUAUAAACACCAGGGAGACGCGCCAUGCUGCUCUGGCUGGCCAACUCCAUCGGUCAGUUGACGGACGAGGCCUGGCUCCAUCCGCAAUGGUCCCAGACCAGCAUGGGUGGAUCCAGAACCCACUGAGCACCACCACGGGUCGAUCGUUUGUAGAGGCAAUAGCGCUCCGAGGCAGCCUGCUGCCCACAGCUUUACGUGGUUCUAGGGGGCGUCCCGACGCCCCCACCGCUUGUGACGCCUGUGGGAGACCGGAGUCACUUGGACACAUCCUCCAGGUGUGCCCCCGAUCCCAAGUGGAGAGACAAUUAGGUCGUGCAGCUGGUCGCCCGAAACGCUAAACGGAGGGGCUGGAGUUGUAUGGUCGAACCAACCAUCCCCACUAGGGCUGGCGUCCGUAGGCCGGACAUCGUGCUCUACAAAGGCACGGGCCCUGCGUGCAUGAUCGACACCCAGGUGGUGGCCGACAAUGCCGACCUCUCCGUUUCCCACCACCGCAAAUGUGACUACUACAAUCAAGUCGAGAUCACUUCUUGGGUGCACCACCAGAUGGGAGAGGAGCAUAUUAUAUACUCGAGCGUCACGCUGUCGUGGCGUGGCCUCUUGUCUGGCGAGAGUGCAGACUGUCUACUUAAGACAGUGGGGCUCAGUAAAGUCACCCUCGCCCUCAUCUCUCAGGUAACCCUAGAGAUGGGUCACAGAGUGUACCGACAGUUCAAAAGGUCCACUCUUAGAAUGUGCUAAGCCCCCCAGUCGUGCUCAUAUUCUACGAGCACCACCGUCGGGCAUACUGAGCCCCCUAAUGGUGGUCGUCCAAUCUUUUCCCUCUCUAAGUUGGGGUUCAUAUAUAAUGCACAGGGUUAAGCUUUCCCUCCAAAAAGCACAUAAUUGUAGAUGCACAAUUUAGAGUAGCCAAAUGCCUCGUCAUAUAAUUAGUGACGCGCAUGAAUGGAUUAACGAGAUUCCCACUGUCCCUAUCUACUAUCUAGCGAAACCGCAGCAAAGGGAACGGACUUUGCAGAAUCAGCGGGGAAAGAAGACCCUGUUGAGCUUGACUCUAGUCUGACCUUGUUAAAAGACAUGAGAGGUGAAGAAUAAGUGGGGGUCGGGGGGCCUCGCGGCCGUCCGGCGACGGUGAAAUUCCACUACUCUUAUCGUUUUUUUACUUGCUGGAUGGAGCGGAGGGGAACCGCAAGGUUCACUUUCUGGACUUCAGCCUUUUUCCAUUUUCGGCUGGAGAUGGUGAUCCGAGUCCGAGACAGCAUCAGGUUAGGAGUUUGGCUGGGGCGGCACAUCUGUCAAAGGAUAACGCAGGUGUCCUAAGGUGAGCUCAAUGAGAACGGAAAUCUCAUGUAGAACAAAAGGGUAAAAGGUGACUUGAUUUUGGUUUUCAGUAGGAAUACAAACCGUGAAAGCGUGGCCUAUCGAUCCUUUAGCGUUUAUGAGUUUUAAGCUAGAGGUGUCAGAAAAGUUACCACAGGGAUAACUGGCUUGUGGCAGCCAAGCGUUCAUAGCGACGUUGCUUUUUGAUCCUUCGAUGUCGGCUCUUCCUAUCAUUGCGAAGCAGAAUUCGCCAAGUGAUGGAUUGUUCACCCACCAAUAGGGAACGUGAGCUGGGUUUAGACCGUCGUGAGACUUUCACGACUUUCUUAUAUUUUGCAAGUUCCCUUUUCACCAGGACAGCAGCUCAACAUAGUCCUUUUUCAAGUGGAUGAGCAAACUGCUCAGACAAAGAUGGAUGGAUUUUUUUUUUAAGGGACAGAGCCUUCUGAGAUCCUGCUUGAGCAGUGCUUUAUCUUUCUCUUAACGCCUAUGGGUAUGAGUAGUUGACUGAGAGGCGACACUGUUUAUCUCAAGGUUUUCAACAAUUUUCCUUUAACCCCCAGAGGCCUUCUUUCCUUUGCUUUUUGUCUUGUUGCUAACCAUAAUUUUGAUUCCUGUUUUGUUUGCAUUC